rnacentral:rRNA from 1 species
GAUGAACGCUGGCGGCGUGCCUAAUACAUGCGAGUCGAGCGAACGGACGAGAAGCUUGCUUCUCUGAUGUUAGCGGCGGACGGGUGAGUAACACGUGGAUAACCUACCUAUAAGACUGGGAUAACUUCGGGAAACCGUAGCUAAUACCGGAUAAUAUUUUGAACCGCAUGGUUCAAAAGUGAAAGACGGUCUUGCUGUCACUUAUAGAUGGAUCCGCGCUGCAUUGGCUAGUUGGUAAGGUAACGGCUUACCAAGGCAACGAUGCAUAGCCGACCUGAGAGGGUGAUCGGCCACACUGGAACUGAGACACGGUCCAGACUCCUACGGGAGGCAGCAGUAGGGAAUCUUCCGCAAUGGGCGAAAGCCUGACGGAGCAACGCCGCGUGAGUGAUGAAGGUCUUCGGAUCGUAAAACUCUGUUAUUAGGGAAGAACAUAUGUGUAAGUAACUGUGCACAUCUUGACGGUACCUAAUCAGAAAGCCACGGCUAACUACGUG